UUUGGUUAAGUUAGAAAGGGCGCACGGUGGAUGCCUUGACACUAGGAGUCGAUGAAGGACGGGACUAACGCCGAUAUGCUUCGGGGAGCUGUAAGUAAGCUUUGAUCCGAAGAUUUCCGAAUGGGGAAACCCACCAUACGUAAUGGUAUGGUAUCCUUAUCUGAAUACAUAGGGUAAGGAAGACAGACCCAGGGAACUGAAACAUCUAAGUACCUGGAGGAAGAGAAAGCAAAUGCGAUUUCCUGAGUAGCGGCGAGCGAAACGGAACAUAGCCCAAACCAAGAGGCUUGCCUCUUGGGGUUGUAGGACAUUCUAUACGGAGUUACAAAGGAACGAGGUAGACGAAGCGACCUGGAAAGGUCCGUCGUAGAGGGUAACAACCCCGUAGUCGAAACUUCGUUCUCUCUUGAAUGUAUCCUGAGUACGGCGGAACACGUGAAAUUCCGUCGGAAUCUGGGAGGACCAUCUCCCAAGGCUAAAUACUCCCUAGUGAUCGAUAGUGAACCAGUACCGUGAGGGAAAGGUGAAAAGCACCCCGGAAGGGGAGUGAAAGAGAUCCUGAAACCGUGUGCCUACAAAUAGUCAGAGCCCGUUAACGGGUGAUGGCGUGCCUUUUGUAGAAUGAACCGGCGAGUUACGAUCCCGUGCGAGGUUAAGCUGAAGAGGCGGAGCCGCAGCGAAAGCGAGUCUGAAUAGGGCGUUUAGUACGUGGUCGUAGACCCGAAACCAGGUGAUCUACCCAUGUCCAGGGUGAAGUUCAGGUAACACUGAAUGGAGGCCCGAACCCACGCACGUUGAAAAGUGCGGGGAUGAGGUGUGGGUAGCGGAGAAAUUCCAAUCGAACCUGGAGAUAGCUGGUUCUCCCCGAAAUAGCUUUAGGGCUAGCCUUAAGUGUAAGAGUCUUGGAGGUAGAGCACUGAUUGGACUAGGGGUCCUCAUCGGAUUACCGAAUUCAGUCAAACUCCGAAUGCCAAUGACUUAUCCUUAGGAGUCAGACUGCGAGUGAUAAGAUCCGUAGUCAAAAGGGAAACAGCCCAGACCGCCAGCUAAGGUCCCAAAGUGUGUAUUAAGUGGAAAAGGAUGUGGAGUUGCUUAGACAACUAGGAUGUUGGCUUAGAAGCAGCCACCAUUUAAAGAGUGCGUAAUAGCUCACUAGUCGAGUGAUUCUGCGCCGAAAAUGUACCGGGGCUAAAUACACCACCGAAGCUGCGGAUUGAUACCGAAUGGUAUCAGUGGUAGGGGAGCGUUCUAAGGACAGUGAAGUCAGACCGGAAGGACUGGUGGAGUGCUUAGAAGUGAGAAUGCCGGUAUGAGUAGCGAAAGACGGGUGAGAAUCCCGUCCACCGAAUGCCUAAGGUUUCCUGAGGAAGGCUCGUCCGCUCAGGGUUAGUCAGGACCUAAGCCGAGGCCGACAGGCGUAGGCGAUGGACAACAGGUUGAUAUUCCUGUACCACCUCUUUAUCGUUUGAGCAAUGGAGGGACGCAGAAGGAUAGAAGAAGCGUGCGAUUGGUUGUGCACGUCCAAGCAGUUAGGCUGAUAAGUAGGCAAAUCCGCUUAUCGUAAAGGCUGAGCUGUGAUGGGGAAGCUCCUUAUGGAGCGAAGUCUUUGAUUCCCCGCUGCCAAGAAAAGCUUCUAGCGAGAUAAAAGGUGCCUGUACCGCAAACCGACACAGGUAGGCGAGGAGAGAAUCCUAAGGUGUGCGAGAGAACUCUGGUUAAGGAACUCGGCAAAAUGACCCCGUAACUUCGGGAGAAGGGGUGCUUUCUUAACGGAAAGCCGCAGUGAAUAGGCCCAAGCGACUGUUUAGCAAAAACACAGCUCUCUGCGAAGCCGUAAGGCGAAGUAUAGGGGGUGACACCUGCCCGGUGCUGGAAGGUUAAGGAGAGGGGUUAGCGUAAGCGAAGCUCUGAACUGAAGCCCCAGUAAACGGCGGCCGUAACUAUAACGGUCCUAAGGUAGCGAAAUUCCUUGUCGGGUAAGUUCCGACCCGCACGAAAGGUGUAACGAUUUGGGCACUGUCUCAACCAGAGACUCGGUGAAAUUAUAGUACCUGUGAAGAUGCAGGUUACCCGCGACAGGACGGAAAGACCCCGUGGAGCUUUACUGUAGCCUGAUAUUGAAUUUUGGUACAGUUUGUACAGGAUAGGCGGGAGCCUUUGAAACCGGAGCGCUAGCUUCGGUGGAGGCGCUGGUGGGAUACCGCCCUGACUGUAUUGAAAUUCUAACCUACGGGUCUUAUCGACCCGGGAGACAGUGUCAGGUGGGCAGUUUGACUGGGGCGGUCGCCUCCUAAAGUGUAACGGAGGCGCCCAAAGGUUCCCUCAGAAUGGUUGGAAAUCAUUCGUAGAGUGCAAAGGCAUAAGGGAGCUUGACUGCGAGACCUACAAGUCGAGCAGGGACGAAAGUCGGGCUUAGUGAUCCGGUGGUUCCGCAUGGAAGGGCCAUCGCUCAACGGAUAAAAGCUACCCCGGGGAUAACAGGCUUAUCUCCCCCAAGAGUCCACAUCGACGGGGAGGUUUGGCACCUCGAUGUCGGCUCAUCGCAUCCUGGGGCUGUAGUCGGUCCCAAGGGUUGGGCUGUUCGCCCAUUAAAGCGGUACGCGAGCUGGGUUCAGAACGUCGUGAGACAGUUCGGUCCCUAUCCGUCGUGGGCGUAGGAAAUUUGAGAGGAGCUGUCCUUAGUACGAGAGGACCGGGAUGGACGCACCGCUGGUGUACCAGUUGUUCUGCCAAGGGCAUAGCUGGGUAGCUAUGUGCGGAAGGGAUAAGUGCUGAAAGCAUCUAAGCAUGAAGCCCCCCUCAAGAUGAGAUUUCCCAUAGCGUAAGCUAGUAAGAUCCCUGAAAGAUGAUCAGGUUGAUAGGUUCGAGGUGGAAGCAUGGUGACAUGUGGAGCUGACGAAUACUAAUAGAUCGAGGACUUAACCAUAUAA
rnacentral:rRNA from 1 species